rnacentral:tRNA from 1 species
GUGUGGCUCGGUGGUAGAGCACUUGUCUACCAUGUAUGAGACCCUAGGUUCAAUCCCCAGCAC